GAUGAACGCUAGCUACAGGCUUAACACAUGCAAGUCGAGGGGCAGCGCAGUGUAGCAAUACAUGGGCGGCGACCGGCGCACGGGUGCGUAACGCGUAUCCAACCUUCCCGUUACUCAGGGAUAGCCUUCCGAAAGGGAGAUUAAUACCUGAUGGUGUUCAAAUUCCGCAUGUUAUUUGAACUAAAGAUUUAUCGGUAACGGAUGGGGAUGCGUGACAUUAGGUAGAUGGCGGGGUAACGGCCCACCAUGCCUACGAUGUCUAGGGGUUCUGAGAGGAACGGUCCCCCACACUGGAACUGAGACACGGUCCAG
rnacentral:rRNA from 1 species